AUUCAGGAGUAUAUAUUUGCUCCAAGAGUAGAUGAUUGCGUUUCACAUAGAACACCUUAAUAUAAUUCUAGAUCAGCAUCAGGUAUAGCUAUGUCAUUAAUUGUUUUGCUUCACAACAACAAUGUUACAGGCUCAAUUCUACAAUGUGUUAGCCUUGAAUUGACAAAUGCCUCUUAAGUGGAUGGUGCCUGUGCAGAAGCCCAUUAUAUGUACACACACACACACACACACGUCAAAAUCAUAUAUCAAACACAGACCUGGUAGUGUGGUUGGAGAAGCUUACUUUACAUCCACAUAGUUUUGGGUUCAGUUACCCUGCAUGGCAACUUGAGCAGGUGUCUUCUGCUCUGGUCCCAAGCUAACCAGGGCCUUGUGAGUGAAUUUGGUGAGUGAAACUGAAAGGAGACCUAUUUGCGAUCUCCUAUGAAAACUUGUUCAGACUAGAGAAAAAUAUUACUUUGCUUGGAAGGAAGUGAGAGUUGUCAACAAGAAAAGCUAAGAAAAAUCAGCCUCAAUGAAUUAUGUUUGACCCAGGCAUGCAUGAUAUUGGAGUGGUCGUCUAUGCCUUUCAUGAAGAGUAUUUAAUCAUUGAAGCUAAUGAUUGUUCUUUUUGCUAUUUUAAUUAGAUUCUCUGAUAUUUAAGGGUGAAAGAGAAGAAGUUAUCAUCAGACUGGGGACAUGACUUAAAUGCUUAAAACAAAAUGAGCUUUGCUAAAGUCACUCAAGAACCAGGUGUUGGUGUUAAAGUGGAAUAAGUAUACCAAGCAAGAACUCAAAAUGCAAAGAACUGGAACAAAUGCACUGCUUCUUGCUGCAAUAACCCCUAGGCUGAAGUUUCUUCCCCUCUUUCUUGGAGAUAUUAUAAAAAGAUAAGAGCUCCCAGUGCUCAUAUCAUUUCCUCUUGGAUGUAAGUCAUAAAAGAUAUUUACUUGGUGUAAGCAACUGUACCACCUUAUCAUGUUUCAUCGAAAAGUAAUUUAAGUAUCUCCUCAAUGUACCAUAAAAACCCAUGUAAUUUGCACACCUGUGCAAUUUACGCAGGUGAUUUUCAGGAUAAAAUUUGUUAAAAAAGGCUCCUACUCAUGUAAAAUUCACACCCCAAAGUUUUCAGAAUUGCUGAUAUAGCCAGGGGAAAAAGGUUUUCAAUUCAGUUGUAUUUAGCAUAAUUUCACUUACUUAUGACAAGAUUUUAUUAAAUUGUCAUUAAAUAAAAAUAAUUUCUGUUUAACAGGUAUCACAUUGAAAGCUAUUAAAUUACAAAGUGUUUGUGUUGUUUAUAAUAAAGUUUAUUUUACAUUUCUUGCCCACAAGAGAUUAUAUCCGAUCUUUAGCAUACUGCUAUAUGUCUUCUCAAAUCACGAUCACAAGAAAAGUUAAGAAUUACCAACAAAAACAAAGCUGAUGAAUAUGACAGGUGUUGCAAAUUAAGUUUAAUUACCAAUAAACAUCAGCUUGGAUGAUACUUUACUCAACCGACAGAGGUUGAGUAAAGUAUCAUCCAAGUUGAUUAUGUAAACAAAAUUCUUUUCCGCCUAUUCUUGUUGGAACCUUUGAUAUGGAGUAUAGAAAUUUUAAUCCCUUUCACACUUAUAAAAUGUCAAGCAAACUUAAAAAUUUGUCAUUACUGUUAUUGUCAGUAUGGGCAGAACUUAUGAAUUGUUUACUGUGAAGGAGAAAUUAAAUAUGUUGAUUAUGCAUUUGAAUGUGGCAAUAGAGCUGCCGGGAGGUAUUUUAAUGUUAAUGAAGCCAAUGUUCGAAAUUGGAGUAAGCAGUAUGACAAACUUAAAACUGUGCCCAGUAAUAAACAGACAAAAACAAAAACAUACAAUCAAGAUUAUCCAUAUCAUUACAUUUUUUUCAGUCAGGAAUAUCCAUAUCACUAUGUAUGUCAAUGGUGCUCCAUUGCAAUAGGUAGAAACUCCAAGCAAUGGUUCAGACCGUGUUUACCAGCAUGAACAUCAGACUUCAAAAAGUAGUUAACCAUUUAAUGGUUUUAGUAAAUUUAUACAGAGAAAGUAAGCAUUAUACCAUCCAGCAUAAAUAAACAUCAACUUCAUUAUAUUUAAGCCAUUAUUUUUUCUGCAAAAGCUUAUUCAGACAUUAAAUGAGUCAAUUUCUGGUUCAAAUGUUUACGUUUUGUAUGUCUUUUAUUAACAAAAAAAUUUCCCCCAAAAUUCUGGAAACAAUCUACUUAUGUAAUUUACACACCCACUAAAGUUUAUUUCUAUUUUUGCAAAAAAAGUGCAUAAACUACAUGGGUUUUUAUAGUAUAUACAUAACUGUAAAACAUAUGUGACUGUGACAUGUACUGAUCUUAUAUUGGCGAUGUCAUUUUAUAGAUUAACAAUAGAAAGACUGCUGUCUUUUUUUUAUCACCAGCUGACAUCUUUCUCUUUUAAAUGACAAUCAGUAUAAGGUGUCCAAUAAUAUGUAUUAGAGUUCAUCCUAAAUCCUAAGUCACAAAGAAUACAGUUGAAAUACAGUUUUCUCACAGAGUUAGGCAUCUGUUUUCCCCAUGUUGCCCUUCAGGAGGAUUGUAGCUUAAGAAAUUGCAAACUAACUUAACAAAUAUCCAUUAUACAAUGCUCUUAUUAUCAAAAGCAAUUUAAUAAAUUGGACCUUAUCAACAGUCAUGGAUAUUGGCCAGAAACAGUACAAUAUAGUGAA